AAAGAUAAUUAUGCUCGUGGUGGUGGUAGUGAUGGUGGUUGUGGUCUUUGUGGUGGAAAGAUAAAGCAAGUUGCAUAAGGGAAACACAUUGAUAGUGACAUUGUUAUCGAUCUUGAUCUUAGUGGAAAGAUAAAGCUACGGAUGCAAGGCGUAAAGUACCGGAUAAAGGAUACAAUUUUGAUAUCCUAUGUGAAUUUCUACCUGAUGGGAUGCCCCUUGAGAAAUGGAAACGAACGUGGCUGACAAACAAGCGGGUAAAACAAUUGGAUACAAGAAAGUAUUCCUACAGACCCACGCCACUAAGAAGUGAAAAAAGUGUUACAAGAUCAGGAGAUGAGCGAAAAUGAUUUUGAUUCAUUAGAGUUUGUUACCAACCAUGCAAAAUGUUCAUAUGCCGUGUACACGUUACAAGUAAAAAAGUUGUAUGGGGACAAGGAUUUCGAUGAUUUAGCCGUGUAGUAGAGUCUGCUUCUUGAGUGUAAGGGUCGUAAGAUGUUCGGCAUAGGAUCUUCUGCUCCUGUUUUUGUGGUGAUUAGAAAACCAUCUUCCAGAACUUGCGGUCAUACGAUGAUGCCUCGACAGUCGCAUGAGCUUCAAAAAGUUGAAGCGGAAUUAGAAAGAGAGCGAGAGGCCCGACAAAACAUAGAAUCCCGUUUUGAACAAUUUCAACAAGAGCGCGAAAAAGAGCGGGCCGACCAAGCGGCAUGGCAAAAAACUAUGGAAGACAAGCUGAAAAACAUCGGAAAUAAGUAAAAACUCUGGUCUUGUUAAGUAUUGGAUUAUUAAAGGUCGGAUUAGUGCUUUUAAUUAGGAUUUUUUGUGCGUUUUGGAAUGUUUUAAAAUUUUCGGAAUGUUUGGAAUGCGUGGGAAUGUUGUUUUAA